AGCCCUGCGUGGGCAGAGAGGAGGGAACAGUCCAUCUAUUCUAGGCUGGACGUGAGAGGGAGGACGGCCUUGGCUCAACCCGGGGCGCAGUAACAAUAUAAUUACCGUAUGCAGUCCCCCAGGAUACAGGGUCAAAGGAGAGCACAACCAUCGCAGUUGGAAGCCCAUGGGGCAGGGCCCAGGACACAGUGAGCAUACAAUAGACAUUAGCUGCUGUGGUGUCUUGAUUUCAAGCCCAGUGCAGAUGCAUCUGACUUACGAAACUUCAGUGACACCUGCUCUGUGCCAGACACUGAAGAUGGAGCAGUGAACAGCACUGACCCAGCCUGUCCUCCUGUUGCCUGCAGGCCAGAAGCAAGGUCUCGCUGUGUUACCCUGGCUGGAGUGCAGUGGCUACUUACAGGCAUGAUCAUAGCAUACUGCAGCCUCGAACUCCUGGACUAGAGCAGUUCUCCUGCCUCAGCCUCCAGAGCAGCUGGGACUGCAGACACGCACCACAGAGCCCAGCCUGAGUCAUUUUGAUUCUGUAACUGGCUUCCUCUCGGCGGGCAGGCUCACACCCUCCACCCCCAGCUGGAGAUGGAAGGAGGAUGCUCACCGCCCAUUCCUCAUGCAGGCCAUCGAUGGAAAUGUCAGACAGUGCGAGUCCACGCCUGAACACUUCUGGGGUCCGCUCUGGGACUGACACUGGCAGAUCCAUCGAUGCCGUUCCAUUGUUUGCUGACUUUCAUUGAUUCUAUGAGAAGUCUGCAGUCUUUUGCAGCGUUGUUUUCCUAUGUAUAAUUGUCUCCUCCCACCCCACUCACCCCAGCUGCUUUCCACAUUCUCUCUCUUUGAUUUUCAGCAGUCUGCCCAUGAUGUGCCUAAAUAGGACUUUCUUUGCAUUCAUCUUGGCUGGGGCUCACUGAACUUUCUGAAUCUGUAGAUUAAUUUUCUUUUUUCAAUAAACCUUGGAAUAUUUUCAGCAUAA
ensembl:lncRNA LINC00963 long intergenic non-protein coding RNA 963